UUAGAAAAUUAGAGUUGAAUAGUUGUUGAUUCUAGAUCAACAAUUUUGAGAGGAGUGCUGUUGUUGCACUUUGUAAAGACUAGUUGAAGCAAUAAAGUUGAGAGCAUUCCAUCUACAGAUUCUGCUUUCAUCUAACGGUAUUUCUCUGGAUCUCGACGAUCUGAUUGACGGCACAGGAGCAACACGAUCAAGUUAAUUUCAGGAGCGGCGUAACCAGAUUGGCGGCAUAGGACGGCGUUACCAGAGGUAAUCGCAGGAGCGGCUAACCAGAGUUGUGACUCUGAGAAGUGAAAAAAGUUCCGAUUUUGAAAAAAAAGAAAACUGGAAACGAUGCACGUGGUUUCGGUCAUCUCGGAACCGUACGUGGCAGGUCCUGGACUGAACGUGCAGAAACUUACCGAGGCCGGCGCGACAAGAUCUCUCGCAAGAUUGCCGGCCACCUCGACAAACUCUUCAAAAAACUGAUAAACUGUGAACCGCUUGUGUAACUUAAUCAAACAUGCAAUAAUACCAGUUUUGUCGGCUCGAGGGGUUUUGACAGUCUUAAAAUUAACUUGUUGGUCGGUCCGUUUGAUCAUAUAUAUAUAUGCACACACAAUCGCUCCAUUUCAUAUAUGCAGUGUACUAGCACAUGCAACUACGCUGAUCGAAUGCGUGUAUCGGUUACGUACAGUGUACAUGUACUCA